GGGCGGUUAGCUCAGCUGGUAGAGCGCCUGCCUUACAAGCAGGAGGUCACUGGUUCGACCCCAGUACCGCCCA
rnacentral:tRNA from 1 species